GGCGGCGUGCUUAACACAUGCAAGUUGUACGAGAAAUCUUCUGCUUGCAGGAGAGAGUAAAGUGGCGCACGGGUGAGUAACGCGUGGGUAAUCUACCCUCGAAUCGGGGAUAACUCGCCGAAAGGCGUGGUAAUACCGGAUGAAGUCUUUUUGCUUGCGGGUAAAGAGAUGAAAGGUGGCCUCUACGAGUAAGCUACUGUUUGGAGAUGAGCCUGCGUACCAUUAGCUAGUUGGUAGGGUAAAGGCCUACCAAGGCGACGAUGGUUAGCUGGUCUGAGAGGAUGAUCAGCCACACUGGAACUGACACACGGUCCAGACUCCUACGGGAGGCAGCAGUGGGGAAUUUUUGGACAAUGGGCGCAAGCCUGAUCCAGCAAUGCCGCGUGAGUGAAGAAGGCCUUCGGGUUGUAAAGCUCUUUCAGUCGAGAAGAAAAGGCUGUGGUAAAUAAUCACAGUUCAUGACGGUAUCGACAGAAGAAGCACCGGCUAACUACGUG
rnacentral:rRNA from 1 species